GACGAACGCUGGCGGCGUGCUUAACACAUGCAAGUCGAACGGUGAAGCGCCUUCCUUUUUGGUGGGUGUGGAUGAGUGGCGAACGGGUGAGUAACACGUGAGUAACCUGCCCCCUUCUUCUGGAUAACCGCAUGAAAGUGUGGCUAAUACGGGAUAUUCUGGGUCUGUCGCAUGAUGGGUCUGGGAAAGAUAUUGUUUCGGUGGGGGAUGGGCUCGCGGCCUAUCAGCUUGUUGGUGGGGUGAUGGCCUACCAAGGCGGUGACGGGUAGCCGGCCUGAGAGGGUGGACGGCCACACUGGGACUGAGACACGGCCCAGACUCCUACGGGAGGCAGCGGUGGGGAUUAUUGCACAAUGGGCGCAAGCCUGAUGCAGCGACGCCGCGGGAGGGAUGGAGGCCUUCGGGUUGUGAACCUCUUUCGCCAGUGAAGCAGGCCUGCCUCGUUUGUGGGUGGGUUGACGGUAGCUGGAUAAGAAGCGCCGGCUAACUACGUG
rnacentral:rRNA from 1 species